AGCGAACGCUGGCGGCAGGCCUAACACAUGCAAGUCGAGCGGCCGUAGCAAUACGGCAGCGGCAGACGGGAUAGUAACACGUGGGAACGUACCCUUCAGUUCGGAACAACCCAGGGAAACUUGGGCUAAUACCGAAUACGUCCGUAAGGAGAAAGAUUUAUCGCUGAAGGAUCGGCCCGCGUCUGAUUAGCUAGUUGGUGGGGUAAUGGCCCACCAAGGCGACGAUCAGUAGCUGGUCUGAGAGGAUGAUCAGCAUCACUGGGACUGAGACACGGCC
rnacentral:rRNA from 1 species